rnacentral:rRNA from 1 species
AACGAACGCUGGCGGCAGGCUUAACACAUGCAAGUCGAGCGCCCCGCAAGGGGAGCGGCAGACGGGUGAGUAACGCGUGGGAAUCUACCCAUCUCUACGGAAUAACGCAUGGAAACGUGUGCUAAUACCGUAUACGUCCUUCGGGAGAAGGAUUUAUCGGAGAUGGAUGAGCCCGCGUUGGAUUAGCUAGUUGGUGGGGUAAAGUCCUACCAAGGCGACGAUCCAUAGCUGGUCUGAGAGGAUGAUCAGCCACACUGGGACUGGGACACGGCCAGGAAUGCUACGGGAGGCAGCAGUGGGGAAAAUUGGAAAAUGGGGGCAAGCCUGAUCCAGCCGUGCCGCGUGAGUGAUGAAGGCCCUAGGGUUGUAAAGCUCUGUCACCGGUGAAGAUAAUGACGGUAACCGGAGAAGAAGCCCCGGCUAACUUCGUGCCAGCCGCCGCGGUAAGAC